rnacentral:lncRNA from 1 species
AAGCCUUGGGUGGACAGAGGAAAGGAUGACGAAGGGUUCAGUCUUUUGUUGCUGUCUCAUCUUGUUUAACCCCAGCAUGCAUCACCCGUGUGAUGAGAGACCCACAAAUGCUACGCUCUACACUUCACCCUGAGGGGCUCCUCAGCAACCAGGACAACUGUGAGAGGCUGAGGGUGUCACUUCAUCUCUGGAAGAGCACACAAAGGUGGGUGUUUUUGCUCUUUGUUUCUCCUGUGGCCAGUAUUUGCACAGUGGCUCUCCAAGGCUCAUCUGAGUGAUCCCAGGGUACAGGAGCAACUUAAGGAACCCACUUGCUUCCUUCCUUCUGCCACUGAGUUAAAACAGGGAACUUGCCAGUCACCAUUUCUACAUCUUUCAGGCCAUGUGCAUCUAUCUUCAGACUCCUCUCACCCUUCUAGCCCAUCAUUGGUCCGUUUGGUUGCUGUUGUCAGGGUAACGGUAGGCUGGCCCUUUGCCUCUAGGGGUAUUAAUGUGAGCCACCAGCAGGAGAUAUGCCAGCAGCUGUGGGGCCCACCUGUCUCUCACUGACUGUAGACCAGUUCCAGGCAGCUUGAGCAGCAAAGCACAGGGGCACACUAGCAGGCCGGGGCACAGCAGAGUGUGGGUGUUAUAUUGCCUCUGAGCACUGUGUCACUUUAUCCACUGCUUAGGGACUAAUGGAUCAGGAGUAUAAAGAGAAGGUUACAGCCAUGUCCUUGGUAAUCCAUGGACUGUGAUCUGCGUGUUCAGCCCACGUCAGCAGUUUGAUUUCAAGGGUUGAUUUGCGUAUGCCAGUGGAAAACUCAGGGUCUUAUCUAACCCAUGAAUUUCCAAAAUAAUUUAAAAGGUACUUUUUCAGAAACAUGGCACUGUUAAAAUUAGAAAUUAAUAUAUAACUUCAAGAAAACAAAGAAAUUAUAAAAGAAAAAGGUAGCUUUAUAAAUAGCUUAGAAAAUACAUAUAUACAUGUAUAUAUACUGGGUUUUUUGUUGUUGUUGUUUUGUUUUUUGGCAGGGGGAAGGACUCAUAAUUUGGUAAAAUUUAUCCAGACUGCUUCUUCUACUUAGCAAAAUGUCCUCAGUUACUUCUCUAUGAUAUUAGCCUUAUGCUAAAUGCUACAAAAGAUAUCACUGAGUGGCGACAGUACAGUUCACCUAACUAUUCCCUGACAGAUGGAUGUACAGGUUACUAAUGGUUUAUUAGUAUGAUAAAAGCACUGUGGUAAACAGCUAGUGUGAGUCACAUGGAAGAUGAGAAGCUCACUAAAGGCACCAACACUUCAGCUCGCACAAAAGACCCAGCGUGUUUGGAGAGAGGCUGAGGGCCACAGUAGAGAUGAACUGCAUGGGUCCCACUGGCACCAAGUCCUGGGGUUGUGGUCCUGGGGACGCCGCUGGGCGUUGGGUAACAAUUAUCUCUGAACUCAAACAUUCUAUCUUAAAAGGAAGCAAGGUGGUCUAAGAGGAAGCAAAGCAUUCCAUCUUGAGGGGUUCACCGAACCCCAGAAAGUUAACAACUCAAAAGCUUUAGGAAGUCCUUGAAACCGAGUGGAUUCACUUAGCCCCUCACACCACAAUAAGCAAUAAGGACUUCUGAGCCAUACUUCUCUACUGGAAGAGGUGGGACAAGACCAGUAACCGGGAAAGGACACUGUCUAACCUACUAAGCUGCCUGAGGGCUAUGCAGUGUGCUCCAGGUUCCCAUCCAUGCUGGGAUGGGCUUUGUCAAUUCAGCUGUCUUUGAGUCAUUUCUGCUUCUGUAGGUAACCCUUCACCCAUAUUCCUGUAAGUAACCCAAUAAAACUGUUUUGUUCACUAACUUGAACCGUUAGUGAUUUCCUUA